UACGGGGGGAGCAAGCGUUGUUCGGAUUUACUGGGCGUAAAGGGCGCGUCGGCGGCCACCGCAAGUCGACUGUGAAAUCUCCGGGCUUAACCCGGAAAGGUCAGCCGAUACUGCGGGGCUAGAGUGCAGAAGGGGCAACUGGAAUUCUCGGUGUAGCGGUGAAAUGCGUAGAUAUCGAGAGGAACACCUGCGGCGAAGGCGGGUUGCUGGGCUGACACUGACGCUGAGGCGCGAAAGCUAGGGGAGCGAACGGG
rnacentral:rRNA from 1 species